rnacentral:rRNA from 1 species
UGAUGUUAGCGGCGGACGGGUGAGUAACACGUGGGUAACCUGCCUGUAAGACUGGGAUAACUCCGGGAAACCGGGGCUAAUACCGGAUGGUUGUUUGAACCGCAUGGUUCAAACAUAAAAGGUGGCUUCGGCUACCACUUACAGAUGGACCCGCGGCGCAUUAGCUAGUUGGUGAGGUAAUGGCUCACCAAGGCGACGAUGCGUAGCCGACCUGAGAGGGUGAUCGGCCACACUGGGACUGAGACACGGCCCAGACUCCUACGGGAGGCAGCAGUAGGGAAUCUUCCGCAAUGGACGAAAGUCUGACGGAGCAACGCCGCGUGAGUGAUGAAGGUUUUCGGAUCGUAAAGCUCUGUUGUUAGGGAAGAACAAGUACCGUUCGAAUAGGGCGGUACCUUGACGGUACCUAACCAGAAAGCCACGGCUAACUACGUGCCAGCAGCCGCGGUAAUACGUAGGUGGCAAGCGUUGUCCGGAAUUAUUGGGCGUAAAGGGCUCGCAGGCGGUUUCUUAAGUCUGAUGUGAAAGCCCCCGGCUCAACCGGGGAGGGUCAUUGGAAACUGGGGAACUUGAGUGCAGAAGAGGAGAGUGGAAUUCCACGUGUAGCGGUGAAAUGCGUAGAGAUGUGGAGGAACACCAGUGGCGAAGGCGACUCUCUGGUCUGUAACUGACGCUGAGGAGCGAAAGCGUGGGGAGCGAACAGGAUUAGAUACCCUGGUAGUCCACGCCGUAAACGAUGAGUGCUAAGUGUUAGGGGGUUUCCGCCCCUUAGUGCUGCAGCUAACGCAUUAAGCACUCCGC